rnacentral:lncRNA from 1 species
AUGGAGAUGUCUGUCUCGUCCUUCCUCUGCGUAGAAUCUCCCUUUUCAUCAUUAUUUUUUACAUUUCUCUCUGUGUACUUCCCAAGCCUGUCUUUGUCUAGAAGUUGCACACGUCCCACUUUGGAGGUGGUUUCCUUCCCCGUACUGGCUACAUUGAUCCAGGCCGCCACACACUUUUCUGAGCGUAUCCUGUCACGUCUUCUGCUGUCAUUACAGUCGGGAUCCCCUAAACAGUUCUCCUUAGCACAGAUGACGCGAUCAGAGAAGCUAAAUGAGCGUUUUGGCACUCCUUUCAACGGCGUAUUCCUCCCUUUGUGUGCAUCAGAUUGGCUGUCAUCUUCGUCUGAGUAUUUUCUCCUCCCAGGUCGGAGGAAAUUAUCAGAGCUUUUGGAUCGUGAUGGGGGCUUUGGGUGCUCUCCGAAUUUACUCAGCAGCUGGCUGACCCUCCCUCCUCUGUCCACUAACACAUUGUCCUCCAAGCUAUCCUUCCUGUCUUCCUUGACAACUGUUGCCUGGCACCAAGGUUUCUCUUUUUCUCUCAACCAGGAUAGAUCUGAUCUGAACUCCCUGCCCAUGCUCUCCCACUUUCCCUCCGUGCCAACUUUCAUCUCACCAUCUUCUCUACUUUUUGUUCCUCUUCCCAUGGCAUUUCCUUCUUCUGUGCUUUCUGAUGGCUUUAUGAUCAAAACCUCUGAGGCUCGAAUCUCAGUGAUGCUUCCUCCUACAGAAAGUAUCUCUCUUAGGUCCACCUUCACACCACUCUUCUCUUGGUGGUCUUCCUUACUCUUCUCCUUCUCCGUGUCCCUCUGUCUGCCCCUUUUGUCAUCUCUGUCCUGUUCAAUGAUGAUGAUAUUGUCAGCUCGGAUGGUCCGAAGACAGGGGACAUGGGGCGGCAGAGAAGUACUUAAAGUAUCUGACUCUUUAUCCUCCUCAUCGUUUCUCACUUUGAGAAAAUCCCAUUCCCUGGCAACACCUCUGACAGACUCUCUGCACUGGUUCUUAUCCUUUCCCCAUCUACCCCUGCUUUUGUCUGGUGCGUGUUCCUGGCUUCUGUCCCAGCCUUUCUCUUUUUGA